GCAAGAAAGGGUAGUAAUAAGAUUACACCUAAUUGCCUUAGCAUCCACUUAACUGUUUUACAUACGUGCCUCAGAACAAAUGUUUGUGGAGUGUCUAGACGGGUGUUUACAAAUGUGUUAGCUAGCUCCGGCUAAUUGGGGAGCAAUUAACGGCAGUUAAAGUGCUGGGAAGCCUAGACAAAGCCGGAGAGCGCCUCGGGUUUGGGGCCCGGGCUUGCCUCCUGUGCCUCCGGGGAGAAGGCUCAGACUCCGCCAGGAGGAGGCUCGCUUCCUUCUGCCUGCCACCAGGGAGGAGGGUCUCUGAGGGGAAGGGGAAAAGGAGGACGAAGGGAGGUCCCCGCCAAGCCAGGCAUGUGGCUCCCAUCCUCAUCCCCGCUGCCCCGUGGGCACCGGAGGGCUGGGAGCCACAGGCGGCCUCCCUCCUGCCCGGCCUCGCCGGCCUCCGCUGCCACAUGCCUCCGCCCGGCCGGCACUGUGUCGUCACUCUGACAUCACUGUGACGUCAUGACAUGCUGGGAGACGGGCCUGUGACGUCACACCGACACCAGGCCAAAACGAGGAGGCAGGAGGGCGGGCGGUGCAGACCCCGGCGUGGGUCGAAGGGGAAGGCUGCGGCGUGCUGCCAUGUCGUGCGGCGAGGCCCGGCCUCCUCAGGGACGUGCGGCCUCCGAGCACCGGGAGCAUCCCAGCGGGCGCCGGCGGGACCAGAGAGACAUUAAGGAGGUAUGCCAGACUCUGGUCUGGAAGACCAGCAAAGAACAAACUUGGAAAUGCAGAGACAUGCCCUUAGUUUGGAGGUGGUCGCUUAUUUCGAAUCUUGUUAAAGCAAAUUUCCUGUAGUCAAAAAUCCAAUGGAAGAUCUCUGUGCUGAUUUGGAAAACAAUUGUGAAUUGUGGCCAGUGUUCAGAAGCUGCUGUGAAGACACUGAUGUAGUAAGGCAAGGUCAUUAAAUCCUGGUGUGUCUCAUUCAAAUGGGAAUAACCUGAGACUGUGCGGAAGAGAAAAACAGCUAGACAGCCACACACACAGCUGGUGACUAUUUCCUUCGGAGAAGGAGGAAGGAUAUCUUCUACCAGAAGAACAAAGAUGUUGGGAGUUACUAUGAAGUCAUGCUACAUGUUCCAUUACAGAUCAUGUUUGUCCAUCCCUGGACAGAUGAUCUUGUCCAGAAGCAGUUUCUAAACAAUUGUAGCUGUGGUCCACUUAAGGUACAGUGAAAGCUGUGAGUAUUCAUCUUAAAAUUCAGCCUGUGAACUGCAGAAGUUUAGGAGCUUUUUAUGAGCAUCUCAAGUCUCUCUGCAUCAGGACAAAGGCAGAACAUUUUAAGUUAACGUGAUGGCUGUCAUCUUUACUUUCAAGCCACAGCCUUCAGGGAGAAUUAAGAACCAGAAGAAUCCUGGUUACACAGGGGAGCAAAGAUGUACGUUUUGAUAGUGGCAGGGUCCAUUUCAAUUGUGAAACCACAGAGGAGGAAG